CCAGCCCGGCCGCCCGAGCCCGGGGAGCGGCCGGGCCCCCGCGCCUCCGCCCUGGCCGCCGGGCUGGAGCGGGGCGGCGCCUCGCUGAGGGGUGGGCCCCCUACUUUCCUCCGACUCAAAAGCCCCGGCGUCGUGGGGCACGCUCCGCCCGAGUCCUGCCGCCGAGCGCCUCGGGUCCCAGUCCCGCUGUGUCCGCCGCCAUGGCCAAGCCCCUGACAGACCAGGAGAAGCGGCGGCAGAUCAGCAUCCGCGGCAUCGUGGGCGUGGAGAACGUGGCCGAGCUGAAGAAGGGCUUCAACCGGCACCUGCACUUCACGCUCGUCAAGGACCGCAACGUGGCCACCCCCCGCGACUACUUCUUCGCGCUGGCACACACGGUGCGCGACCACCUGGUGGGCCGCUGGAUCCGCACGCAGCAGCACUACUACGAGAAGAGCCCCAAGAGGGUUUAUUACCUCUCUUUGGAAUUUUAUAUGGGCCGAACCUUACAGAACACCAUGAUCAACCUUGGCCUGCAAAAUGCCUGUGAUGAGGCCAUUUACCAGCUUGGGUUGGAUAUGGAGGAGUUAGAAGAAAUUGAAGAAGAUGCUGGGCUUGGCAACGGUGGUCUUGGGAGGCUUGCUGCCUGCUUCUUGGAUUCCAUGGCAACCCUGGGACUUGCAGCCUAUGGAUAUGGCAUCCGAUAUGAAUAUGGAAUCUUUAAUCAGAAGAUCCGAGAUGGAUGGCAGGUAGAGGAGGCAGAUGAUUGGCUUAGGCAUGGAAACCCCUGGGAGAAGGCCCGUCCUGAGUUCAUGCUGCCUGUGCACUUCUACGGAAAAGUAGAGCACUCCAGUGCCGGUUCCAAGUGGGUCGACACCCAGGUGGUUCUGGCCCUGCCAUAUGAUACCCCAGUGCCUGGGUAUAUGAAUAAUACUGUCAACACCAUGCGCCUCUGGUCUGCUCGGGCGCCGAAUGACUUUAACCUUAGAGACUUUAAUGUUGGAGACUACAUUCAGGCUGUGCUGGACCGAAAUCUGGCUGAGAACAUCUCCCGGGUCCUGUAUCCCAAUGAUAAUUUUUUUGAAGGGAAGGAGCUAAGACUGAAGCAAGAGUACUUCGUGGUCGCAGCUACCUUGCAAGAUGUCAUUCGACGCUUCAAAGCCUCCAAGUUUGGCUCCACCAAUAGUACCAGGACUGCAUUUGAUGCCUUUCCAGACCAGGUCGCCAUCCAGCUGAAUGACACUCACCCUUCCCUUGCCAUCCCUGAGCUGAUGAGGAUUUUUGUGGAUAUUGAAAAAUUGCCAUGGUCCAAGGCUUGGGAGAUCACCCAGAAGACCUUUGCAUACACCAACCACACAGUGCUCCCAGAAGCCCUGGAGCGCUGGCCUGUAGAGCUGGUGGAGAAGUUGCUUCCUCGACAUUUGCAAAUCAUUUAUGAGAUAAAUCAGAAGCAUUUAGAUAAAAUUGCAGCCUUGUUUCCUAAAGAUGUCGACCGUCUGAGAAGGAUGUCUCUGAUAGAAGAGGAAGGAGGCAAAAGGAUCAACAUGGCCCAUCUCUGCAUCGUCGGCUCCCAUGCUGUGAAUGGUGUGGCUAAAAUUCACUCAGACAUCGUGAAGACCCAAGUAUUCAAGGACUUCAGUGAGCUAGAACCAGACAAAUUUCAGAACAAAACCAAUGGGAUCACUCCAAGGCGCUGGCUCUUACUCUGCAACCCGGGUCUUGCAGAGUUAAUAGCAGAGAAAAUUGGGGAAGAUUACGUGAAAGACUUGAGCCAGCUGACAAAACUGCACAGCUUCCUGGGUGAUGACAUCUUCCUCCGGAAAAUUUCCAAUGUGAAGCAGGAGAACAAGCUGAAGUUUUCUCAGUUCCUGGAGAAGGAGUACAAAGUGAAGAUCAACCCAUCCUCCAUGUUUGACGUGCAGGUGAAGAGGAUCCAUGAGUACAAGCGGCAGCUUCUGAACUGCCUGCACGUGGUCACGAUGUACAACCGCAUUAAGAAAAACCCUAAGAAGUUAUUUGUACCCAGAACUGUUAUCAUUGGUGGCAAAGCUGCCCCAGGAUAUCACAUGGCCAAAAUGAUCAUAAAGCUGAUCACCUCCGUGGCAGAAGUGGUGAACAAUGACUCUGUGGUGGGGAGCAAGUUGAAACUCAUCUUCUUGGAGAACUACAGAGUGUCUCUUGCUGAAAAAGUCAUUCCAGCCACAGAUCUGUCGCAGCAGAUUUCCACUGCAGGCACCGAGGCCUCGGGGACAGGCAAUAUGAAGUUCAUGCUGAAUGGGGCCCUGACCAUCGGGACCAUGGAUGGGGCCAAUGUGGAGAUGGCAGAGGAAGCCGGGGAAGAAAACCUGUUCAUCUUUGGCAUGCGAAUCGAGGAUGUGGCUGCUUUGGACAAGAAAGGGUAUGAGGCAAAAGAAUAUUAUGAGGCACUUCCAGAGCUGAAGCUGGCCAUUGAUCAGAUUGACCAUGGCUUCUUUUCUCCUAAGCAGCCUGACCUCUUCAAAGACUUAAUCAACAUGCUAUUUUAUCAUGACAGAAUCCAAAGGCCUGGAACACCAUGGUACUCAGAAACAUAGCUGCUUCGGGGAAAUUCUCCAGUGACCGAACUAUUAAGGAAUACGCCAGGGACAUCUGGAACAUGGAACCUUCAGAUCUCAAGAUUUCCCUCUCCAAUGAAUCUAGCAAUGGGGUAAACAAAGCCAAUGGAAAAUGAACAUCAAGCACAGAGUUGAAAUGUGCUAUGAACCCCAAGCAGGAUAAGUACUAAGAAACCCAAACCUAGAAAAAUCAAAGUAGAGUAAAAAUGCUGGGGAAAAAAAUCUCAAAAAUAGAAGGAAAAGUAAACAUUACUUCAAAGGCGCAACAGUAAGACUGGCAGCUGACCUUCUAAUGAAACAGUGAAAGCCAGAACAAAAUGGAUGCCAUCCUCAAAUUGUUGAAGUAAAGUUACUGCCAACUUAGAACUGUAUGCCUUGUGAAAAUAUCCUUCAAAAAUGAAGAUGAAAUAAAGACUUUUUCAGAUCACAACUGAGAGAAUUCUUCACCAACACACAGGCAGAACAAAAGUCCCAGAUGGAAGCACAGAAAUGCUGGAAGUAAUAAAGAACAAAGUAAUCUAAAUACUAACUUUAUAAUAUAAGAAUAAUAAUGUUUUAUGGAGUGUGUAAUGUAGAGUAAAUUAAAAUACAUGAUAGUAAGUAUUCAUAUGUUGGGGGUGUAAAUGUAAUUAGAGUGUUCUAAGGUCAUUGCAUUAUCCAGGAAGUGACAUAUUCAUUUAUUUGAGAAUUUAGUUCAGAUAUACAUCAUUGUCAACACUGUGAAGGAGGUAUGCAGAGAGAGAUGAGAGCUUAGAGGGUUAUCAAAAUAAUGCUUGUUUUAUUUCUAUAAGUAAUUAAGAUUGUAUAUAGCAGGUGACUUGCUUUAAAGUGUUUUCAUAACUCAGAGCCUGACCUGUGUUGCCAAGUAAAAUGUAAGAUAUAA